GGGGAUGCCUUAGUAACGGCGAGUGAGCGGCAAAGCUCAAAUUUGAAAUCUGGUACCUUCGGUGCCCGAGUUGAAAUUUGGAGAGGGCAACUUUGGGGCCGUUCCUUGUCUAUGUUCCUUGGAACAGGACGUCAUAGAGGGUGAGAAUCCCGUGUGGCGAGGAGUGCGGUUCUUUGUAAAGUGCCUUCGAAGAGUCGAGUUGUUUGGGAAUGCAGCUCUAAGUGGGUGGUAAAUUCCAUCUAAAGCUAAAUAUUGGCGAGAGACCGAUAGCGAACAAGUACAGUGAUGGAAAGAUGAAAAGAACUUUGAAAAGAGAGUGAAAAAGUACGUGAAAUUGUUGAAAGGGAAGGGCAUUUGAUCAGACAUGGUGUUUUGUGCCCUCUGCUCCUUGUGGGUAGGGGAAUCUCGCAUUUCACUGGGCCAGCAUCAGUUUUGGUGGCAGGAUAAAUCCAUAGGAAUGUAGCUUGCCUCGGUAAGUAUUAUAGCCUGUGGGAAUACUGCCAGCUGGGACUGAGGACUGCGACGUAAGUCAAGGAUGCUGGCAUAAUGGUUAUAUGCCGCCCGUCUUGAACCAACGGACCA
rnacentral:rRNA from 1 species